UUAUACUGAUGCAUAUUACAAUACAAUACAUUAGUUAUCUGUUAUAUAUACAGUUAUUAGUGUGUAAAAAAUACUUUGCUGUGUGUGUGCGUGAUGUCUGUAUAUAUAUGAUGUGUUUACUGAUAUGUGUGUAUGUGUAAAGUGCAUAACUGUAUAUAAAUAAUGCAUUAAUAUAUGCAUUUCUAUAUACAUUGAAGUAUAUAACUAUAUAUGCACUUAUUAUCAAUUUAUACAGUUAUUAACGUAUAUGUCCAUUGAUUUAUAUACCACACACACACUCACACAAUCGUUAAACACUCACUCACACAUACAAACACACACACACUCACAGAUAUAUAUACUACACAUAUGUGCGUGUUAUGUAUGGCUUGAUGUCUGUAUAUAUACGUUAUAUAUAUACUCGUAUGCACAGUUACUUGCUAUCAGUCAUAUACAAUUAUCAAUGUAUAUAUACACUGCAAUGCGCACGCACAUUGAUACGUACAUGUAUAUUAUCUGAUGAGUAUAAAAUACGUGUAUUAAUUAAUGUAUACAUACACAAUAUAUAUGCACUUAUCAACUCGUUAGGGUGCAUGUGUAUACCCAUAUCAGUGUAUAUAUACAUUGAUAAUUGUAUCUAACUGAUAGCAAGCUACUAUAUAAACAAAUAAUAAGUGUAUAUAUAUGGUCAUAAACAUUAAUGUAUAAAAAAAUGUAUAUAUUAGUACACUGUAUAUAUAUAAAUAUGCACUUUACACAAACACACAUACGUUAUAUAUACAAACAUCACACACACACGUAUCAAUGUAGUUUUUAUUCGAGAGACCAUGAUGUCCAGUUUUUGGGUGCUGGAUUGGGUGCAUCGGUUAGACCGAGGAUUAUUUACCAGCGAACAAGUGCACUCUUUCUCCAGAUAUGGAUACCUGGUUCUGAAAGCGGCUAUAUUGUGUGUAUUCGAAUUUUGAAAACCCUCAUUAGUGCUUCUCUUUCUUCCUCAUGGGUGGCCUUAAAUGAAAAAGAGGGUAUAUAUCACUGAUUAUCAGUUUAUACAAUUAAUAAUGUAUAUGUAUAUGGAUUUAUAUACUACACACACACAAACACACACACACACACAUACAUAUAUAUAUAUGUAUAUAUAUAUAUGCUACACAUAUAUGCGUGUUGUGUAUGGUUUGGUGUGUGUAUAUAUACGAUAUGUUUAUGCGUGUCUGUAUACACUUGCUUACUAUCAAUUAUAUACAAUUAUCAAUGUAGAUUUACAUUGAUAAGCGUAUGUACAUACACCUUUACGCGUUGAUAAGUGCAUAUAUACAAUGUAUGUAUAAACUAAUAUAUGCAUUUUAUAUACAUAGAUAUAUAUAAUCAUAGAGACACUUAUUAGUAGUAUAUAUAUAUACAGUGUGUAUAUAUAAUAUAUGUAUAUACUGAUUUGUUUAUGUGUAUAUAUAAACAUUUGUUAUAAGUUAUAUACACUGAUAUGUGCAGGCGCAUGCUCUCUUACGCAUUGCUAAGUUCAAACAUACAUUUCUAUAUACACUGAUAUAAAUGGCCAUAUAGAUACUUAUUAUCAAUUUAUACAGUUACUAGUGUAUAUAUACAUUAA
rnacentral:lncRNA from 1 species